AUUGAACGCUGGCGGCAUGCCUUACACAUGCAAGUCGAACGGCAGCACGGAGCUUGCUCUGGUGGCGAGUGGCGAACGGGUGAGUAAUAUAUCGGAACGUACCCUAGAGUGGGGGAUAACGUAGCGAAAGUUACGCUAAUACCGCAUACGAUCUAAGGAUGAAAGUGGGGGAUCGCAAGACCUCAUGCUCGUGGAGCGGCCGAUAUCUGAUUAGCUAGUUGGUAGGGUAAAAGCCUACCAAGGCAUCGAUCAGUAGCUGGUCUGAGAGGACGACCAGCCACACUGGAACUGAGACACGGUCCAGACUCCUACGGGAGGCAGCAGUGGGGAAUUUUGGACAAUGGGCGAAAGCCUGAUCCAGCAAUGCCGCGUGAGUGAAGAAGGCCUUCGGGUUGUAAAGCUCUUUUGUCAGGGAAGAAACGGUGAGAGCUAAUAUCUCUUGCUAAUGACGGUACCUGAAGAAUAAGCACCGGCUAACUACGUGCCAGCAGCCGCGGUAAUACGUAGGGUGCAAGCGUUAAUCGGAAUUACUGGGCGUAAAGCGUGCGCAGGCGGUUUUGUAAGUCUGAUGUGAAAUCCCCGGGCUCAACCUGGGAAUUGCAUUGGAGACUGCAAGGCUAGAAUCUGGCAGAGGGGGGUAGAAUUCCACGUGUAGCAGUGAAAUGCGUAGAUAUGUGGAGGAACACCGAUGGCGAAGGCAGCCCCCUGGGUCAAGAUUGACGCUCAUGCACGAAAGCGUGGGGAGCAAACAGGAUUAGAUACCCUGGUAGUCCACGCCCUAAACGAUGUCUACUAGUUGUCGGGUCUUAAUUGACUUGGUAACGCAGCUAACGCGUGAAGUAGACCGCCUGGGGAGUACGGUCGCAAGAUUAAAACUCAAAGGAAUUGACGGGGACCCGCACAAGCGGUGGAUGAUGUGGAUUAAUUCGAUGCAACGCGAAAAACCUUACCUACCCUUGACAUGGCUGGAAUCCCGGAGAGAUUUGGGAGUGCUCGAAAGAGAACCAGUACACAGGUGCUGCAUGGCUGUCGUCAGCUCGUGUCGUGAGAUGUUGGGUUAGGUCCCGCAACGAGCGCAACCCUUGUCAUUAGUUGCUACGAAAGGGCACUCUAAUGAGACUGCCGGUGACAAACCGGAGGAAGGUGGGGAUGGCGUCAAGUCCUCAUGGCCCUUAUGGGUAGGGCUUCACACGUCAUACAAUGGUACAUACAGAGCGCCGCCAACCCGCGAGGGGGAGCUAAUCGCAGAAAGUGUAUCGUAGUCCGGAUUGUAGUCUGCAACUCGACUGCAUGAAGUUGGAAUCGCUAGUAAUCGCGGAUCAGCAUGUCGCGGUGAAUACGUUCCCGGGUCU
rnacentral:rRNA from 1 species